CCGAAAGACGGGUAAUACCGCAUGUGGAUUCAGGUCCCUCGGGACUUGUCUCUAAAGGCGCCCGCAAGGGUGUCGCAUCGAGAUCGGCCCACUUCCCAUUAGCUAGUUGGUAAGGUAACGGCUUACCAAGGCGACGAUGGGUAGGUGGCCUGAGAGGGUGGUCACCCACACUGGGACUGAGAUACGGCCCAGACUCCUACGGGAGGCAGCAGUCUAGAAGCUUCGGCAAUGGGCGAAAGCCUGACCGAGCGACGCCGCGUGUGGGAUGAAGCUCUUCGGGGUGUAAACCACUGUCAGCAGGGAAGAAUGUCCGGGAGGCGUCCCUCUCGGAAGCGACGGUACCUGCAGAGGAAGCGCCGGCCAACUCUGUGCCAGCAGCCGCGGUAAUACAGAGGGCGCAAGCG
rnacentral:rRNA from 1 species